CCUUAAGAAAAAAAGCAUCGAUGAGGUACUUCCAAAGAGUAGAGCAGACCUUUCCGAGAGAUAAGUAAAUCUCACUUUGAAUCUUUUUGGAUAGGCCCCGUCGGGUGAGCUUUUGUAUAGUGAUUCUGAUCCUGAAAGAGUCUACGACAAAAUCAGAAUAUGAUCAAUUAAAUAAACAGAUAGGCCAUCGCUUUAAUUAUACAGUUAGGUGGG
rnacentral:lncRNA from 1 species